rnacentral:tRNA from 2 species
GUCUCUGUAGCGCAAUAGGUUAGCGCGUUCGGCUGUUAACUGAAAGGUUGGUGUGUUCAACCCCACCCAGGGACG